rnacentral:rRNA from 1 species
AUGGCGGCGGCAGAGGGGGAGGCGAGCCGGCUGUUCCGCGUCCGGCGCACGGUGAUGCAGAUGCUGCGGGACCGCGGGUACCUGGUGGUGGACGCCGACGUCGACAUGACCAUGGGCGAGUUCGUCGGGCGCUACGGCGACCCCGUGCGCCGCGACGACCUCGUCAUCAACCGCGCCAAGAAGGACAAGCCCGACGAACAGAUCUACGUCUUCUUCCCGAACGAGCCCAAGCCCGGCAUGAAGACGGUCAAGAGCUACGCCGAGAAGAUGAAGCAGGAGAACGUCAACAAUGGCAUACUCGUGGUGCAGCAGGCGCUGACCGCCUUUGCCCGGAACGCGGUGCUCGGGUUAUCGCAGGAGAAGGAGAAACUGAUGCUCGAGGUCUUCCAGGAAGGGGAGCUUCUUAUAAACAUUAAGAAUCACGAUCUGGUUCCUGAGCACGUGCUCCUCACAAAGGAGCAGAAGAAGACGCUGUUGGAGAAAUACACUGUGAAAGAAACUCAGCUCCCUCGGAUUCAAAUCACGGAUCCAAUAGCAAGAUACUAUGGCAUGAGGCGUGGACAGGUCGUGAAGAUCACCAGGCCCAGCGAGACUGCUGGAAAAUAUGUGACGUAUCGCUAUGUUGUCUGA